ACAGAGGUCCCAAGCGUUGUUCGGAUUCACUGGGCGUAAAGGGUGCGUAGGUGGUGAGGUAAGUCGGAUGUGAAAUCUCUGAGCUUAACUCAGAAAUGGCAUUGGAAACUACCUUGCUAGAGGAUUGGAGGGGGGACUGGAAUUCUCGGUGUAGCAGUGAAAUGCGUAGAUAUCGAGAGGAACACCAGUGGCGAAGGCGAGUCCCUAGACAAUUCCUGACGCUGAGGCACGAAAGCUAGGGGAGCAAACAGGAUUAGAUACCCUGGUAGUCCUAGCCGUAAACGGUGUACACUUGCUGUAGGCGGAAUCGACCCCGUCUGUGGCGAAGCAAACGCGUUAAGUGUACCGCCUGGGAAGUACGGUCGCAAGAUUA
rnacentral:rRNA from 1 species